CGCUUGUAUCCAGUGAACUUUCCAGAGAUGAUUGGUGCCUUCGGAACAUUGAGACAGGUGCUGCAUGGUGUCGUCAGCUCGUGUCGUGAGAUGUUGGGUUAAGUCCCGUAACGAGCGCAACCCUUGUCCUUAGUUACCAGCACGUUAUGGUGGGCACUCUAAGGAGACUGCCGGUGACAAACCGGGAGAAAGGUGGGGAUGACGUCAUGUCAUAUGGGCCCUUACGGCCUGGCUACACACGUGCUACAAUGGUCGGUACAGAGGGGUGCAAAGCCGCGAGGGGGAGCUAAUCCCACAAAACCGAUCGUAGUCCGGGAUCGCAGUCUGCAACUCGACUGCGUGAGUCGGGAUCGCUAGUAAUCGCGAAUCCAAAUGUCCGCGGUGAUACGGUCCCCGGGUCUGGUACACACCGAA
rnacentral:rRNA from 1 species